rnacentral:misc_RNA from 1 species
GGGCUACGACAAUGAUCCUGAGCAAGAUGACCGCGAACGUUUUGCAUUGGAUCGAUAUGGUCGCGGAGCUGGUCAUGGCUAUCAUAGGCAGAUUUCGGUCUGUGCGACGCACGCAGUUCAUCGAGGAAGACGGCGAUGUUCAAUUCACGGGCAGGGAGCGGACGCCAAAUCGGAGGCCAUUCUUAUGUCCAUUCGCUUGCUUGAUGAUGGCGCGCUUACGGACUUGAAGCCAAAGCUGGCAGUGAUGCUUCGGGGCAGCGACGUGGAGGUCGUCCUGCGGCCCAGUCAUUUUCUGGUUCGCUCUCUCGAACUGCCUAAACGCGCCGGGGAGUUUCUGGACGGCAUCGUGCGUUCGCAGAUCGAUCGGUUGACGCCAUGGAAAGCAACGGAAGCUGUAUUCGGCUGGACGCCGCCAGUUGAAGCCCCCGAUGAGCGGAUUUCCCUGAUGGUGGUUGCAACUGCACGGGCACGAAUCGAACCCUAUGUGCAGGCGUUGUCCGGCCUCGGCGCCAGUUCCAUCAUGGUGUCGAUGCUCCCGGAAGUGGAGAUUGAGAACGCCGGACCGAUCAGGGUGUUCGCGCAAGGAUCGCAUAGCNUUUUCCGGGUUCGUCAUUGGCUGAUGGUGGUGCUGGCGGGGCUUGCGGUCGCAACUUCUCUCGCAGCCACCACGGCGCAAUUCGUCGGCAACGACCUGCAAACACAGACGCACGAUGUGAAC